UCUAGGGUGUUACUUUCGCCAAACCUUGAAGCUAGUGAAGCCGUGCUUGAAACGUGUAUUUUCCACAAUGCUGACUAAUUCAGAUGAUCCUGUCUUGCAUGACGAAGCUGUUCAUGAUAUUAUCAUGUGCACGGUGGAGCGGGGACUAGAUAAAAUGAAAACCUGCACUUACCUUAGAACAGACGAAUGGAUAAGAAAGAAUG